GAAGUGAGUUGGGGAAGGAGAGAAGAGGAGAAUGGGAAGGAAGAAAGGGUAUGUGGAGUUCGAGGAAUCGCCGCCGGACGAUUUCGAUCCGGCGAAUCCGUACAAGGAUCCGGUCGCGAUGUUGGAGAUGAGGGAACACAUAGUGAGGGAAAAAUGGAUCCAAAUCGAGAAGGCGAAGAUUCUUAGGGAGAAGGUUCGAUGGUGCUAUCGCAUCGAAGGAGUUAACCACCUUCAGAAGUGUCGCCACCUCGUUCAACAAUACCUCGAAUCCACUCGUGGCAUUGGUUGGAACAAAGAUGGACGUCACCCCUCCCUCCACGGUUCGAUUCUUCUUCAUUUCUCAUUCUUCAAUGUGGGGUUUUGCGAAUUUUGAAGUGGGCUCUAUGUAAUUUCUGUCAAGUUUCAGUUUUUCGUUGCUUCUGUGUGUGUGUGUGUGUGUGCAAUGUUUCUCAAGUUGUGGUUAUUCGUUGCUUGAUGAUCAAAAGUUUAUUUAUUUUGGUUCGAUGUUUUUAAGGGCUUUUUGUUUUGAUUAAGUGAAUGGGGUGAUGCCAUUAUAGCUCAUCUAGUAUAAUUAAGCGAAUUGUUGAGUGGGAUGUGUGUAAUUUCUCUGUAGCUUUGGUUUUUGGUUGCUCAGUGAUAAAAGGGUGUCGUUUUGUAUCCCCCCGGCCCCUCUUGCAGAAUUAGGAUUGAACAGUUUGGUAUGCUGUUUAUAAGGAUUUUAUUUUUCGUGUUCAAUGCACAAGGGUUUUUUCCGAAUUAUCAAGUGGGGUGUGAGUGAUUUUUCUCAUGUUUUGGUGUUUUGUCAACCAUUGUUCGAAAGGUGAUUUUGGGGUGAUGAAGUUCGUGGAAGAAAAGAUAAUUUGACAUGGAAGCAAAAUUUUAGCCUUUUUUUUUUUUGGCUUUUUUGCAUUUAAUCUUGCAUCGCAGGUCGAAUUUCAGAAUUUGAUCUAUAUUGGUUUGCUGUGUGUAAAAGUUUUGUUUUGAGUGCAAAAGGAUGUGAGUUUUGGAAUUGCAACUCUGAUUCCACUCAGCUUGAUCAUUCUCUUUAUGUGUGGAGUGAUUGCAUCUUAAGAUGAAGUAAAAGUGAAUGUAGUGAUUCCAUUUAGCUCUCAUUGAUCGAUAGUUAGUCUACUAUUAUCUGUUGAAAGAAUUUUGUAAAAGAAAAAAAGAAAUUGAACAUGUAUUUUUUCUUUUGUUAUUUUCAACUAUCAUAUGUAUUUCAAACAUAUGAAGCUUUUGCCAUUAGUUUUUUUUACUGGAUCCUGCUUAUUUUGAUUUUGUGACAAGCUAAACAUGUGGAAUUUAUUUGAGUUUUCCUUAAUAGAAUUUUGAAUUAUAGUAAAUUGUCCUCUCUCUGCCCAUUGGUGCUUUCGUGAUAAUUCCUUGUUCAAUUUUCUGAACCAGGCCCAAAGGUUGAGGCAGUUGAGGCUGAAUGACUGCCUUGUGGAUAAAUAAAAGGGAAAGAUUGAUUACCCAACUGAUUAUAUUGCAAAAUCAGAUACUAGGUGAAGGAGUGCCUUUGUUGCAGUUAUUGUGUUCUUGUUAUUUUUCGUUACUCAACCUUCCUGUGAACCACAACUGUAUUUUGGCCGGGUCUCUAUUUUUGCUUGGCUUAUUAGGCUUCUGUUGCUUGUUACCGUUUCAAUAUAAACAAGUAUGGAAAGGCUAUGAGCAGAAAUACAUUAGUUUAUGGAAUAAGUUCUUAUUAUCUGUUAUGACGAGUGCCUGUUUAAUAAUAAGAUUGCACGAGCCCUCUAUUCCAUUCCUGAUAUUCAGCAGUAUGAUUAAUACCAUACUAAAUUUGUUGAGCAUGAAAUUUCACUGUUAUUCUGAAUUUGUUAGGGUGACAAGAAUUUUCUUCACCCAAACCGACACUCUUCGAAAGGGAAAAUACCAAAUAUCUCUGCAGCAAUGAUGUUGAUCGUGUCACUGUUGCAUGUGAAUAGGAGCAAUAGGUAGAUGACCAUUUUGAGUGAUAUAAUCAAUGGUGGUGUUGGAAUUAAGACUGUGGUAGGAAUCAAACUACAAAAGAAUGGCUUCCCUCAGUCUUUUUCCCCUACAGUUUGCUGGGCCUAUUACUCCGACAUUGUAUUGUUGACCGUUGAAUGAUGAUAUAAAAGGUCAAUUACACUUG